rnacentral:rRNA from 1 species
GGCUUAGAGUUUGAUCCUGGCUCAGAUUGAACGCUGGCGGCAUGCCUUACACAUGCAAGUCGAACGGCAGCACGGGAGCAAUCCUGGUGGCGAGUGGCGAACGGGUGAGUAAUAUAUCGGAACGUGCCCAGUAGUGGGGGAUAACUACUCGAAAGAGUAGCUAAUACCGCAUACGACCUGAGGGUGAAAGCGGGGGAUCGCAAGACCUCGCGCUAUUGGAGCGGCCGAUAUCAGAUUAGCUAGUUGGUGGGGUAAAGGCCUACCAAGGCAACGAUCUGUAGUUGGUCUGAGAGGACGACCAGCCACACUGGGGCUGAGACACGGCCCAGACUCCUACGGGAGGCAGCAGUGGGGAAUUUUGGACAAUGGGCGCAAGCCUGAUCCAGCAAUGCCGCGUGCAGGAAGAAGGCCUUCGGGUUGUAAACAGCUUUUGUCAGGGAAGAAAUCCUCUAGGUUAAUACGGUCG